UUGAACGCUGGCGGCAGGCCUAACACAUGCAAGUCGAGCGGUAGCACAGAGAGCUUGCUCUCGGGUGACGAGCGGCGGACGGGUGAGUAAUGUCUGGGAAACUGCCUGAUGGAGGGGGAUAACUACUGGAAACGGUAGCUAAUACCGCAUAAUGUCGCAAGACCAAAGUGGGGGACCUUCGGGCCUCAUGCCAUCAGAUGUGCCCAGAUGGGAUUAGCUAGUAGGUGGGGUAACGGCUCACCUAGGCGACGAUCCCUAGCUGGUCUGAGAGGAUGACCAGCCACACUGGAACUGAGACACGGUCCAGACUCCUACGGGAGGCAGCAGUGGGGAAUAUUGCACAAUGGGCGCAAGCCUGGUGCAGCCAUGCCGCGUGUGUGAAGAAGGCCUUCGGGUUGUAAAGCACUUUCAGCGGGGAGGAAGGCGUUAAGGUUAAUAACCUUGGCGAUUGACGUUACCCGCAGAAGAAGCACCGGCUAACUCCGUGCCAGCAGCCGCGGUAAUACGGAGGGUGCAAGCGUUAAUCGGAAUUACUGGGCGUAAAGCGCACGCAGGCGGUCUGUCAAGUCGGAUGUGAAAUCCCCGGGCUCAACCUGGGAACUGCAUUCGAAACUGGCAGGCUAGAGUCUUGUAGAGGGGGGUAGAAUUCCAGGUGUAGCGGUGAAAUGCGUAGAGAUCUGGAGGAAUACCGGUGGCGAAGGCGGCCCCCUGGACAAAGACUGACGCUCAGGUGCGAAAGCGUGGGGAGCAAACAGGAUUAGAUACCCUGGUAGUCCACGCCGUAAACGAUGUCGAUUUGGAGGUUGUGCCCUUGAGGCGUGGCUUCCGGAGCUAACGCGUUAAAUCGACCGCCUGGGGAGUACGGCCGCAAGGUUAAAACUCAAAUGAAUUGACGGGGGCCCGCACAAGCGGUGGAGCAUGUGGUUUAAUUCGAUGCAACGCGAAGAACCUUACCUGGUCUUGACAUCCACAGAACUUAGCAGAGAUGCUUUGGUGCCUUCGGGAACUGUGAGACAGGUGCUGCAUGGCUGUUGUCAGCUCGUGUUGUGAAAUGUUGGGUUAAGUCCCGCAACGAGCGCAACCCUUAUCCUUUGUUGCCAGCGGUUAGGCCGGGAACUCAAAGGAGACUGCCAGUGAUAAACUGGAGGAAGGUGGGGAUGACGUCAAGUCAUCAUGGCCCUUACGACCAGGGCUACACACGUGCUACAAUGGCAUAUACAAAGAGAAGCGACCUCGCGAGAGCAAGCGGACCUCAUAAAGUAUGUCGUAGUCCGGAUUGGAGUCUGCAACUCGACUCCAUGAAGUCGGAAUCGCUAGUAAUCGUAGAUCAGAAUGCUACGGUGAAUACGUUCCCGGGCCUUGUACACACCGCCCGUCACACCAUGGGAGUGGGUUGCAAAAGAAGUAGGUAGCUUAACCUUCGGGAGGGCGCUUACCACUUUGUGAUUCAUGACUGGGGUG
rnacentral:rRNA from 1 species